rnacentral:rRNA from 1 species
GACGAACGCUGGCGGCGUGCCUAAUACAUGCAAGUCGAGCGGACAGAAGGGAGCUUGCUCCCGGACGUUAGCGGCGGACGGGUGAGUAACACGUAGGUAACCUGCCCCUUAGACUGGGAUAACUCCGGGAAACCGGAGCUAAUACGGGAUAAUAAAGAGAAUCACCUGAUUCUCUUUUGAAAGACGGUUUCGGCUGUCACUAAGGGAUGGGCCUGCGGCGCAUUAGCUAGUUGGUAAGGUAACGGCUUACCAAGGCGACGAUGCGUAGCCGACCUGAGAGGGUGAUCGGCCACACUGGGACUGAGACACGGCCCAGACUCCUACGGGAGGCAGCAGUAGGGAAUCUUCCGCAAUGGACGAAAGUCUGACGGAGCAACGCCGCGUGAGUGAGGAAGGCCUUCGGGUUGUAAAGCCCUUUAGGCUGGGAAGAAGAGUGCGGGGUGAAUAAUCCUGUACUUUGACGGUACCAGCAGAAUAAGCACCGGCAAACUCUGUGCCAGCCGCCGCUGUAACAC